UACGAAGGGGGCUAGCGUUGUUCGGAAUUACUGGGCGUAAAGGGCGCGUAGGCGGCCACUGCAAGUCAGUUGUGAAAUCUCCGGGCUUAACCCGGAAAGGUCAACUGAUACUGCAGGGCUAGAGUGCAGAAGGGGCAACUGGAAUUCUCGGUGUAGCGGUGAAAUGCGUAGAUAUCGAGAGGAACACCUGCGGCGAAGGCGGGUUGCUGGGCUGACACUGACGCUGAGGCGCGAAAGCCAGGGGAGCGAACGGG
rnacentral:rRNA from 1 species